rnacentral:tRNA from 2 species
GCGCCGGUGGUGUAGUCUGGAAACACCAGGGCUUGCCGAGCCCUUGCCCCGGGUUCAAAUCCCGGCCGGCGCA